rnacentral:rRNA from 1 species
UACGUAGGGUGCGAGCGUUAAUCGGAAUUACUGGGCGUAAAGCGUGCGCAGGCGGUUUUGUAAGCCAGAUGUGAAAUCCCCGGGCUUAACCUGGGAAUGGCAUUUGGGACUGCAAGGCUUGAGUGCGGCAGAGGAGACUGGAAUUCCUGGUGUAGCAGUGAAAUGCGUAGAUAUCAGGAGGAACACCAGUGGCGAAGGCGGCUUCCUGGCCUGUUCUUGACGCUGAGGCGCGAAAGCUAGGGGAGCAAACGGG